UAUGGGAGAGAUGAUAUGUAUGGAGGAAUUAUUUGGGGUCAGAAAAUGGAUGUUUUAACAUAUUUUAAGUUGGAAGAAGUAGAAAAUGCUAAGACAAAACCAGCUUUAUUAUCUCAAAAAGAAGAAGCCCAGAGUAAAACAUGGUCAACAGCCCAAGAAUGUCAUCAAGGACUCAAGUCAUUUUCAUAUUUUUUUCUGCAGUUCUCCUGGGGCUUAUCUUCUGUAGCGGCUCUCAAUAUCACAGCCUCCAGACAACAUUAAGAAGGGCAUGAAGAAGGACUUUGAUUUCUCCAGCGUAUCUUUCAAAAGGCAAAAGACAACCUUCCCCAUACACCUCCCCUCCCCUAGCUUAUUUCCCUUCAUUCUCAUUGUCUAGGUUUGUUUCACAUGCCAAUGCCUAAACCAGUCACUGACAAGGAGAAUGGACCUCUCAAGAUCCGUUAGACCAAUCAUGAGCCACGGCUGCGGAAUGGAGGCGCUAGAGCCCACCUCCCCUAGAGCACCUGGCUGAGCAAAAGGGUUUUCUCGGGCCCGGAGCCGACUCUGCUGGGGCACUUAGCAGCUGGAACUGAUGCCGCCUCAGGAAGUGUCCUUCUGCAAUGCCUCAUGGGAGCUGAUGGAUGAUACCCACAGGUUCUGGCUCCUUCACUCUUCAGUCUGCACUGCCCCAAAAUGGAAGCCACUUGAUGGCCACGAAACACUUGGAGUGUGUACGGUCCGGAUUGAGAUGCUGUACAUGUAAAAACACCCCAGAUCCUGAAGACUUCAUGCAAAGAAAGUAUGUAAAAUAGCUCAUUAACAAUGUUUAUUCAGUUACAUGUCGAGAUGAUAAUAUUUGGGCUAUAUUGGGUUAAAUCAAAUAUAUUAUUAGGA